rnacentral:rRNA from 1 species
AGAGUUUGAUCAUGGCUCAGGACGAACGCUGGCGGCGUGCUUAACACAUGCAAGUCGAACGGAAAGGCCCCUUCGGGGGUGCUCGAGUGGCGAACGGGUGAGUAACACGUGGGUGAUCUGCUGCACUUCGGGAUAAGCUUGGGAAACUGGGUCUAAUACCGGAUAGGACCAUGGCCUGCAUGGGUUGUGGUGGAAAGCUU